UACGGGGGGAGCAAGCGUUGUUCGGAUUUACUGGGCGUAAAGCGCGUGUAGGCGGCUACGCAGGUCCGUUGUGAAAACUGGAGGCUCAACCUCCAGACGUCGACGGAAACCGUGUGGCUAGAGUCCGGAAGAGGAGAGUGGAAUUCCUGGUGUAGCGGUGAAAUGCGCAGAUAUCAGGAAGAACACCAAUGGCGAAGGCAGCUCUCUGGGACGGUACUGACGCUGAGACGCGAAAGCGUGGGGAGCGAACAGG
rnacentral:rRNA from 1 species